GCCGAAUCCCACGGUCCGAGAGGACCGAUCGGGAAAUGUGGCGUUAAGGAGGAUCCGCAAACCCCGGAGUCGCGCGCGGCGAGUCCAAGUCCUUCUUGAAAGAGGCCGAUCCACCCGCAGAGGGUGCCAGGCCCGUAGGACCGCCUCCCGACGACGGGUCGGAUCUCUCCCUAGAGUCGGGUUGCUCGGGAUUGCAGCCCUAAGCAGGUGGUAAACUCCAUCUAAGGCUAAAUACCACCACGAGACCGAUAGCGAACAAGUACCGCGAGGGAAAGUUGAAAAGAACUUUGAAGAGAGAGUUCAAGAGUACGUGAAACCGUUCAGGGGUGAACCUGAGAAACCCGAAAGGUCGAAAGCCGAGAUACAGCGUUCGUCCGCGUCGUCGAUCGAAAAAUUUCGCCCGCGGUCCACGCGGCCGUGCGGUGGGAAUUUUUCGAGGCGCGACGCGGCGACGUGCACUUUUCGGCGAGUAGGACGUCGCGACCCGUUGGGUAGUAGCCGACGUUAUACGGGGACGUCCGGGGCAGCUCGGAAGGACGAAGCGGGCCGCGUGUCCGUCCCAGUUCUCCGAACCCGUACGGCGUCCUCCCGGCGUACAACGGCACGCCCGACGCGACGUAAAAUCGAAAAUCCAAACGAACCGACCGGCGGAGCGCCUCCGAGCGCGCCCGUCCCGUCGUCGUUCGACGAACGUUCGUCCGGUACCGGCAGAUUCGGCGGCCCAGAGCCGUCGACUCCGGGAAAAACGCGUUCCGACGCGACGGUGUUCUCGGGCGGCGGCGUCUCAAAAACGUCGCGCGUCCGCCGUCGGUCUC
rnacentral:rRNA from 1 species